rnacentral:lncRNA from 1 species
AGCUAGUAAUGGUUAAAAAUGCGAGUAGAAGCCAUGCAACUUUUUUUGUCCUAAUUCAUACUUUAAGUUUGUUCAAGUUUUUAAAAAGACACGAUCUCUUGAGUAAGGGAGAACAUUCACGGGACAUGAAAGUACAAUAUUACCAUGAGACAUAACACAAGAAAGAAAAACAGAAGGCAUGACAAUUGUAAGACAUUAGGCACCAGGCCGCAUGACAUAAGAAUAAAACAUGAGAAACCACAAGACACAAUGUAAAGUGACAAUUGUAAGAUGUUAGGCAGAACAUGACGUGACAUAAGGCAGUACAAUUACGGGAAAAAAAAAACAAGACGAGACAUGACACGUGAGAGGAACAUAAGGCAUGGAAGAAAUGGUUUAAUUUUUAGUAAACAACUAUUUACAUGGAUUAAAAAAAACUAUUCUAUGAGAUCUAGUUUUGAAACUGUCGGCAUGAGAAAGCUAAUCGAUGG